UACGUAGGGCGCAAGCGUUAUCCGGAAUUAUUGGGCGUAAAGAGCUCGUAGGCGGUUUGUCGCGUCUGCCGUGAAAAGUCCGGGGCUCAACUCCGGAUCUGCGGUGGGUACGGGCAGACUAGAGUGAUGUAGGGAGACUGGAAUUCCUGGUGUAGCGGUGAAAUGCGCAGAUAUCAGGAGGAACACCCGAUGGCGAAGGCGGGUCCUCUGGGACGGUACUGACGCGUGAGAACGCGAAAGCGUGGGGAGCGAACAG
rnacentral:rRNA from 1 species